rnacentral:rRNA from 1 species
UACGUAGGGGGCAAGCGUUGUCCGGAUUUAUUGGGCGUAAAGAGCGUGUAGGCGGUUUGGUAGGUCCGCUGUGAAAACUCGAAGCUCAACCUCGAGACGCCGGUGGAAACCAUCAGGCUAGAGUCCGGAAGAGGAGAGUGGAAUUCCUGGUGUAGCGGUGAAAUGCGCAGAUAUCAGGAAGAACACCCGUGGCUAAGGCGGCUCUCUAGUACGGUACUGACGCUGAGACGCGAAAGCGUGGGGAGCGAACAGG